CGGCAGCAGCCACGUGACCCUCUGGGUGUCCGUCCGAGCCGUGCUGGCCGCAGAGGCACCCGCACCAGACCGGCUGCUGCCCGCAGCCUCCACGGUGCCGCCCUCCGGAGAGACCACGCUCCAUGGGGAUGCCCGGCGGGGAGACGGUGUCGGAGCCGCCGGCGGCCCUGGGCGCCCUGGAGAAGCCGCCCGGCUCGGCCAUCCUGUGCACCACCUGCGGGAACGUGUGCAGGGGUGAGGUGCUGCGGGUGCAGAGCCAGUACUUCCACCUCAAGUGCUUCGUCUGCAAAGUGUGCGGCUGCGACCUGGCCGAGGGCGGCUUCUUCGUGCGCCAGGGCGAGCACAUCUGCACACGGGACUACCAGCGGCUGUACGGCACCCGCUGCUUCAGCUGCGACCGCUUCAUCGAGGGCGAGGUGGUGUCGGCGCUGGGCAGGACCUACCAUCCCGACUGCUUCGUGUGUGCCGUCUGCCGGUUGCCCUUCCCGCCCGGGGACCGAGUGACCUUCAACGGGAAGGAAUGCAUGUGCCAGAAGUGUUCCCUGCCCAAGUCCGCGGGUGGCAGCACGCACCUGUCCCAGGGCCUCUGGAGUUGUGGGGGCUGCGGCACAGAAAUCCAAAGCGGCCAGUCCCUGGUGGCUCUGGACAAGCACUGGCACCUGGGCUGCUUUAGGUGCAAGGCCUGCGGCAAGGAGCUGAGCGCCGAGUACAUCAGCAAGGACGGGCUGCCCUACUGCGAGGCCGACUACCACGCCAAGUUCGGCAUCCGCUGCGACGGCUGCGAGAAGUACAUCACGGGGCACGUGCUGGAGGCCGGAGAGAAGCACUACCACCCGCUGUGCGCGCUCUGCGUCCGGUGCGGCCGGAUGUUCGCCGAGGGCGAGGAGAUGUACCUCCAAGGCUCCUCCAUCUGGCACCCGGCCUGCCGACAAGCAGCCAGGACUGAGGACAAGAGCAAGAUGCAGAAGCAGGUUUGCCGGGGCACCACCCCCUGUGCCUUCCAGGAGACCAGGACGUCCUCCGAGAGCAUCAUCUCUGUGCCUGCGUCCAGCACCUCGGGGUCCCCCAGCCGCGUCAUCUAUGCGAGGCUGGGCGACGAGAUCCUGGACUACAGAGACCUGGCUGCCCUCCCCAAGAGCAAGGCCAUCUACAACAUCGACCGCCCCGACAUGAUCUCCUACUCGCCCUACGUCAGCCACGCGGGGGACCGGCAGAGCUGCCUCGAGUCGCCCCAGUUGCUCUCGCCAACGCUGACCGAGGGAGACCAGGACGACCGCUCCUCCAGGCAGUGCCGCACCUCCAGCCCCAGCUCCGCCGGGUCGGUCAGCCUUGGGCGCUACACCCCGACCUCACGGUCGCCCCAGCACUACAGCCGGCCAGCUGGUACUGUGAGUGUUGGUACCAGUAGCUGCCUGUCCCUGUCCCAACACCCAAGCCCUACGUCCGUGUUCAGGCACCAUUACAUCCCCUACUUCCGAGGCAGUGAAAGUGGCCGCAGCACCCCCAGCCUCUCGGUGCUGUCCGACAGCAGGCCGCCCGCCACCUACCAGCAGGCUCCGCGCCACUUCCACGUCCCAGACACUGGCGUCAAAGAUAACAUUUACAGGAAGCCGCCCAUCUACAAGCAGCACGCUUCGCGGCGCCUGGAUGGGGAGGACGGGGGUUCCGACCAGGACGGCAGGAAGCAGAAGGGCAGCUGGCUGAUUCUCCAGGGGGACGCGGACACGAGGACCAACUCGCCCGACCGAGACAGCCAGCCUCUGUCCCUCAGCAGCGGGGGCGACAGAGACCCUCUCCAGACGGGCCCGGGGGACGGCUUUUACUCACGAUUCCCCUAUUCCAAAUCUGACCCUCUCCCAGGACACGGGAAGAAUGGCUUGGACCACCGGAACGCCAAUCUGGCGCCCUGUGGAGCAGACCCGGAUGCCAGCUGGGGCACGCGAGAGUACAAGGUCUAUCCCUAUGACGCCCUCAUCGUCACAAACCGGAUCCGCGUGAAACUGCCCAAAGACGUGGACCGGACGAGACUGGAGGUGCCAGGACAGAGGCCUUGCUCUUGUUCAUACGUGUGAACCGCCCCCAGCGGCACCCAGGCCGGGGUCUCUGCGUCGCACACACCCAGUGGGUGCUUGCUGAGCCCGUGGGAACCAUGCCCCUUUCUCCCGCCCUUUCAUGUCUCCACUGUCCCCGGGAGGACUAUGAUGUGGCCGGGACACGGCGCUGCUGUCUGCAAUGACAGGCCCCGUCUCUGUGGGCGGAGCGGCUUCCUCCGCCUCCAGGAAGCCCCACCACAGCGCCCUGCCCGGCAGCUCGGGAUCCAUCUUCCUGCUGCUCCUUCAAGUUCGCAGCACAGGCCCGUGGCCCUUCCCGGCACAGACCGAGGCCAGCCUGCUGGGGCGGGAGACACCUGUCGCCCGCGGAGUUCCAGGAGGUGUUCGGGAUGAGCGUGGAGGAGUUCGACCGCCUGGCGCUCUGGAAGAGGAACGACCUCAAGAAGAAGGCCCUGCUGUUCUGAGGCCGCACCCACCCCCGCGCCGAGGCCGAGCCCACAGAGCCGGCGCCGCGGCACCACGCACUCCCUCCUGUUGCGCUGCCUCCAGCUCCUCUGUGCCCACAGGGCGGGCGGGCGCCUGGGCGGGCAGGGGGCCGAGGGUGGGGCGGGAGCAGGUCCCACAGCACCCCGUGCACCUGAGAUCCUGCCUGUAGUUUAGGGCCCUGGCGCCUGGCUUUGCACCGCCCCUUCCCCGCUGUGCUGGGCCCCAGCGAGACGCUGCAGAGUGGCUGUCCCCGGGGAGGGAAGGGCGAUUAGACAGCAGCCCGCCCUCCCCGCCCUGGGGGCACGGAGGGGACCAGGACCUGGGAUCUGAGGGGGCUUGUCAGGGACAGCCCCGGACACCAUCACAGGGCGCCUGUGUCCGCUAGCCCCGGAGGGCACUGGCUCGUGCCCACAGCCCGGGGGCCCAGGGCGGUGCCAAGUGUGGGGUGACGAGUGUGGCCGCUGGUGGUGGCACAGGGCCCUCCUCCGGGCCCUCAAGCGCACGGUUCUCCUACGUCACCCCGAUGCCUAAAGGAUAUCUUUAAAGUAACACAAAGCUUUAUUUUACUAAGAAGUGUAGCCUGUGGGCCCUGAGGCGAUAUUAUGGAGAGUUUAGUUUGCAGCCCGCUGGGGGCUCCGGCCUCAGCCCCGCCCCUCCGCGCCCUGUGGUCUCCGUUCUCCGUGUCCCUAGUACAUGGACUCCUCGUCUGUUUUCUUUUUGCUUCUCUUUCUUUCGUGCCUGUCACACGGGUCCCCUGAAAGGCAGAGCCCCCCCCUCCGCCCCCCCCUCCCGGCCCCAGUGCUGUGUGUACGUGCGUGUGAAGUCUGCGUCCACGCGAUGUCCUCGCUGUUAUUCUCCACGUCUCGGGGCGGAUCCACCUCCCCGCCGGCCAGGGCCCCGGAAUAGGACUUCCGUGGACUCGGCCCGGCGCCCCGUGUGGCUUUUUGGUGACGUGGCCAGCGGCGCCCCCCCGCCCCACCAUGAAACACGCACCUGUGUCCCGGAGCCAUGCCGCGUGGGUGGUCCUGAGGCGGACACCGGCCCUCGGCGCAGAGGCUGCGACACUGUCCGAUCGGCCGGUUGGCAGAGCCUGGGCAGAGGCCUGUGGUCGCGCUGAGACGCGCGGGCUGUCACCAGGGGUGGGCUGGUGCGGUCCCUGCCGCCGUGUUUGUGAAGUGCCUCGAGAGGCCAGUGGGAACCAGCAAGGCGUCGCCCGAGUCCGUUCCCGGCGUCCUGUGGAGCCGCAUCCCGUGUGUCCUGGCCGCCCCGCCCGUGAGUCAGCCUCGCUCAGCUUCCUCCCAGCCCCGCACAUGCCAGGCUGUGGCGCCCGGCUCCGCGCCAGCCCGGCCCGGCAGGGAAGGGAAGUUCUAGCACCUAACGCGCUUCCGUCCACUUAGCGAGCUGAGCCCAAGUGACUGGAAAUCCCCGUCUCAUGCGUGCGAUGUGGGGCCGGGAACCUGGGAAAUAAAGGACGAUGUGUUCUACCUG